UUCACAGGUGUGAUCAUCCUUGCCUGCUUCUCCUUUGGAGGGCGGAGUUCGUGAUGACUAGAGUUCACGUGCUAUGUGAUUAACUCUGCCUCAUCAGGAUUUGUAACAUCCUAAUUGCUCUACCUGAU
ensembl:snoRNA U8 U8 small nucleolar RNA